rnacentral:rRNA from 1 species
AUUGAACGCUGGCGGCAGGCCUAACACAUGCAAGUCGAACGGUAACAGGAAGAAGCUUGCUUCUUUGCUGACGAGUGGCGGACGGGUGAGUAAUGUCUGGGAAACUGCUUGAUGGAGGGGGAUAACUACUGGAAACGGUAGCUAAUACCGCAUAACGUCGCAAGCCCAAAGAGGGGGACUUUCGGGCCUCUUGCCAUCGGAUGUGCCCAGAUGGGAUUAGCUAGUAGGUGGGGUAACGGCUCACCUAGGCGACGAUCCCUAGCUGGUCUGAGAGGAUGACCAGCCACACUGGAACUGAGACACGGUCCAGACUCCUACGGGAGGCAGCAGUGGGGAAUAUUGCGCAAUGGGCGCAAGCCUGAUGCAGCCAUGCCGCGUGUAUGAAGAAGGCCUUCGGGUUGUAAAGUACUUUCAGCGGGGAGGAAGGGAGUAAAGUUAAUACCUUUGCUCAUUGACGUUACCCGCAGAAGAAGCACCGGCUAACUCCGUG